AGCAGAACUUGGACUGAGUCCUGCAGGACACAGUUGUAUGUGAACUAUGUUGAAAACAGGAUGCAUGACUGGCGGCCAGAACAAAGAAGUUUGGUUUAAUUUCUAUCUAUACACCCAGUAAAAUAUCUGUAAUACCACUGGAAAACCUUAAAAUACAUUAUCUAUUUCUUGUAAAAGAAUGAUGAAAUGUGAAUUUGAACAGCAUAAAUAUGUACAAGUAUCUCUUCUCAACGGAAAAAAUUAUGUUUGUGGAUGAAAUAUGAACCGAGUUUGUGGAUGAAAUAUGAGCAGCAUGAAUAUGCACAGAUAUCUCUCCUCAAUGGAAAAAAUCACGUACAAAAUAUAAGAACCCAGUUUGUGGAUGCGUGAAUAAUGAUAAAUUGAGGCCGGGCGCGGUGGCUCACGCCUGUAAUCCCAGCACUUUGGGAGGCUGAGAUGGGCGGAUGACCCGAGGUCCGGAGCUCAAAUCCAGCUCGACCAAUGCGGUGAAACCCCAUCUCUAGUAAAAAUACGAAAAUUAGCCGGGUGUGGUGGCGCAUGCCUGUAAUCCCAGCUACUCGGGAAGCUGAGGCAGGAGAAAUGCUUGAACCCUGGAGGUGGA
rnacentral:lncRNA from 10 species